AAGACUUCUGCAUCUUCCGGAUAUUCUAGUCCAACAUCGAGGUCACAACCCCCCUUUUCGAUAUGGUCUCUCAAAGGAGAUUAUGCUGUUAUCCCUGCGGUAACUAAUUUUUUUGAUCAGUUUUACUGGAUCAAAACUUAUAAGUAAAAAAGAAUAGAGGAAGCUUUUGUUGUUCCUUGGUCGCCCCAACCAAAAAAAAUAAUAGUUGAAAAUUUACUAUGUAUAAAUGUUUCUAUUUAUUUUUAAAGCUCGACAGG
rnacentral:rRNA from 1 species